rnacentral:lncRNA from 1 species
ACUCGAGUAGGGAGUCUGGCCUAGUGAAAGUCUCUGUUUCCUCCUUUUCUUACUUUUCACUCAAUAAAACCCUGCUUUACACACCCUUCAAACCAUCUGUGAGCCUGAAUUUUUACGGCCAUGGGACAGACAAGGAUCCUGUCUUUAUCUAAACUAAGGAAAAGUCCUGCAACAUUUGUGGUGCACAACGUGGGGCUCGAGAAGUGGAAAACGCCUAUUUUGGAGUGAAACCAGGGCCGCCUUAUGAGCUAAACAGAGUGUGUUACAGCUUCAAUAGACUAAACAAGCUCUAAAUUUAUCUUCCUAUGGUCACGGGAUCUCAUAUAUUCUGGCUGUCAUUGUCAUAAUAAGCCACUCUUGGUCAUAUGGAAAAGCAUUCAGCUGCUCCCUGCCUUUGCUCACAGCGUGUGGUACUCUCUUAGAAGCUAUUCCUGGAAUAUGAAUCUGGAAGGUUGAAGUGUUGUGUUGAGAAAAUAUUUGUGUAAUAUACAAGGAAACUGCAGAGAAGAGAAUAAUUUGCAACCCAUUCUUCUGAGGCCCAAAUUAACUCAAUACCAACACAACAUAAGGACACUAUAAGAAAACUGUUCAUUGGUAAUUUGCUAAAAGAAUGCCAGUGGGAACAGAACAGAAGCAUUUUCAAGAUUAAAUUGGCAAUGGUUGUGACUGAUUGGAUGAAGGAAGUAAGGGGGAGAGAUUCAUCAGAGAAAGAAGGCUUCUUUAAGCAGCAGAAUUGAGGAAUGAGUCAGAAAAUAAAAGAGCAAACAGGUUUUUGUUGUUUUAUUUAAUUUUGGUCAACCUACUUGUAUUGGCUUUCAUAGCAUAAAGAAAAUAUUUUACUUUGAACAAGCAUAAAACAAAAACACAUCUUUCAUACAAUACAAUGCAAUCGAUGGCUUUUCCCCAAUGAUUUAUGGAAAUAGCUCUAAAGGAGAGAGAUGAUUUUGUUGCCAGGUCUCCUCAGAUAUCAUCAGUAUUUUUAAUCUCUCAUGACAUUGCUCUACACCCUCUUGCUGCUAUAUUUCUAAAUGCCCUGAGGAUGUUAUUUCUGGCUGUUUCUCUACAAUUAUAGGACCAUAUGCUACUCUCCUUGAUCAUAGAAAUUUAUGACAUGCUCUCUGUUUUACUUCUACCUCAGUUGACAUAAUAUUUUCCAGCAAGUUCAUGUGUUGCUUUUAAAAUAACUUAAUUCAACUCUUGUAGACAAAAAGAAACAUUUUCUUUCUGUGGUCAUUCAGGAUGAGAUGGUAACACCAGAGGUCUCAGUAACAACGCUUCAGGGAAAUAUUUUUAGGAUCUGACACAUUCAGCAGAGAAAAGGAAGAUGAAAAACUGGCCUUUUCCUGAAAAUGUGAUAAAAGCAACAUCACACUGGAAGAAAACUAACAGAGAAUGGAGGUUGAUCCACCUAAGAGACCUGUAGGUCAACACAUAUUCAAGUGCAGAUCAGAGAAUGAGCCUCCCCAGAAGAGGAAGCAGGAGAUCUGAAAGAGAAAUCUUUUCACAGAAAGGAAGUGCUCUGUUUAACAGAGCUUGACUUUAGCAUCAGUCAAUUCAGGCAGCUCUACACAGAAGAGAGCAUCUUGCCCCAGUGUCCACAGAGAGCAGGCACUUCCUGGACCCUUGAGCAAACAUGCCAGGAGGUCACUUAAAACAGCGACUCUUCCUUGGUUGUACAAAAUGAAUGGUACCAAGAAAAAAUUUUCUUUCCUUGGAGGAAAAUUAGAUUCAUUACAAGCAUUUUUUUUUUUAAAGCAACAAAUGGAACCCAGUUGUAAAAAAAAAAAAAAUAAAGAAAAGAAAAGAAAAGUAAAGGGAUAUUUCUAGAAACUGAAACGAUCACAAUGAUUUAUGUUGAAUACGAAACAUAUUCUAACAGUAGAAGGUCACAUUAAACAUCCAAGUGAUGUUAAUGCAAAGAAAAUUCAACAUUAUUUUACAAGGAGGUCCAAAUUCUGGAGAUAGAAUUUUCAAAAAACAAACAGAUGCGAGAACUACAGGUAUGGGAAGAAAAUGUAAGAUCAGGCAAAAAAUCCAGGUGUAAAGAAAUUACAUAGAGAAAAGCUACUACUAAAUCCUGCCAUAGUUGUGUAAUUAAAAAGUAGUCUCGGGAGGCUGAGGCUGGCAGAUCACUUGAGGUCAGGAGUUUGAGACCAGCCUGGCCAACAUGGUGAAACCCCAUCACCACAAAAAAUACAAAAAUUAGCCGGUCAUGGUGGUGCAUGCCUGUAGUCCCAGCUACCUGGGAGGCUGAGGCAGGAGAACCACUGGAACCCGGGAGGCGAAGGUUGCAGUGAGUGGAGAUCAUGCCACUGCCCUCCAGUCUGGGCUACAAUGUGAGACCCUGUCUCAAAAAAAAAAAAAAAAAAAGUAGUAGUGACACUGAAAUAUACUACCUUAUUGUAUACUUACCUAUGAUCCUCACAUUAAAAAUGUUAUAACCCAAAAGCGAUUUAAAAACUAACAUAUAUGCUUUUUUAAAAAAUGCAUUAAAUGGUAUUUUAUCUGUAAGAUAAUACACAAAGAGCUAUUUGACCCCAAAUGUAGCUAAAACUAAUUAAUUUAUAUUUUUGUUCUAGUUUAUUUUCAUUGUAUUAUAAAGGUAAUGUUUUCCACCUGAUUCAUUUGUUUCUUAUUCCAGUGUUUUUAUUUUCCAGUUAAAAAGGCUUUUGUGACAUCUUAAAUUAUUUAGCAGAGAGGCAUGGCCAUAGGAUUGGCAAUAUAUCUUCUCUUUUUAACUUCUCCCCUAUCUUAUGGAGAUGGAAAUUUUGGGUUCUAAGUAAUAAGGAACAAACAGUUGAGAGAGAACUUCAAAUUUUAAAACUAUGGGAAUUCAUUUCCAAAUGCACAUUGAUUAAAUAGUGGAUAGUUUUUUGUAAAGGUUGUUUAUAAAGUGGAUUUUUGUUUCCAAGUCAUAGAAGGUAGGUUUAAUAGAAGAAUCAGUAAUCAAAAACAUGUCAGAGAUGGGCUGGAGGAUUGACUCAAACAAAAGGAAGUUUAAUAGAAAUAAAUUUAAUAUCAAACUUGUGUCCAAAAACUCCAUCUGCACAACAGAAUAUGUGAGAGGCCAGCAUAUAUACAUAUAAGUACAGUUAGAGGCUUUCUGACUGAAAUAAACGUGAGACAGCAGUGAGAUCUGGUUGUCAAAAUGAUAUAAUCUUAGACUUCGUUAUUAGUAAUAAUCGGUGGAGAGUGAUAAUUCCACUCUGUUCACACAAUCUGUUGUUAGACCACAAGGGGAAUUAUGUUCAGUUUUGUUGCAUGACAGUUUAAGAGGCAAAAAUAUCAACUGGUGUAUAGUCAGGGAAGAGUAGCUAGUGCCUUGUCUGGGCUUUUAGUAGUGCUGUAUGCUGAAUAUUAAAGGAGGCAGAAAUAUUUAAUAUGAAGAAUGGAAAAUUACGGGGCAGCAAAUAAACCCACGCACUGAACUCGGGGGCUCAAAGCGCUUUAUGGAGCCACAUCUCUCAUAAUUAAUUUAAAAUAUAACAUCAAUGAAACAUAAAAGAUGUAUUAAAAAGACUAGAAAAAUUAUGGUUCCUAUUAUUGUUAAUACUAUUUUUGACACAUCAACACUUCAAAUUAUUUCAGAAAACAUUAUCAAAAACUUUUUUCAUUAUCGAAUUUUGUGACAUUCUUUUGUUGGUGCCCUAAGCAUGACUCCAGAGCAUUGUGGAAAUACAGCUCUUCAGGAGGUGGUCACUUUUCAAAUACUGGAAACAUUUGAAUGAUGGAGAUAACAUGUUCAGUAUUUAAAUAUUCAAAACGUAUUUGAACCAGAGGACUGCGAAAAUUUCUUCUAAAUCAAGCAGUACUAUUUUUGUCUCUAAAUAAUAAUUUCAUUCCUAUUAGUUCAUAUUCUCAUAUAAAUUGAUUAUAAUACAUAGAAAUUUUCAGAUCAAAUAAAACGGAGAUAAAUUAGGUUAAUAUAUGUUAGCUUCUAUAUUUAACUAAGAUUUUUAACUGAAAGUUGUAAGUCACUUUUUCAAUUUUGCAUUAACCUCAUUGCAACUGUCAUGGAGUUGAUACGGCAUUAUCCACAAAUUGCUUCUGAAGAUUAUUGGUAGAGGGUACAAAGCAAGGCACAUCAUCUUUAUCAUUUGAACACAGGAGAUAUGAUUUUUUAAUCUAUUUUCUAUUGUUAUUUGAUAUGCAAUCUCACUUUUAGUAGAAACAGUUGUUUCAUUUGCACACAAAAAUAAAUAGACUUCAUUUCAUUUGGAGUGGUGGCUUAAAUAAGUAUAUUUGGUUUCAAGAAGAACAGAAAUUGUGUUUUUUAUUCUUGAGGAUAAAUUAUAAACUCUGCAAAAAAUAUUAAUAGUUUUAUAUCUUAUUUUAGACAUCAUUUGCUUUAGGGACAAUAGAGAAAGCUCUUACAGGAGUUUAAAACGACUAAAAACUAAUGUGUAAUGAGAAUCCUUCACUGCCUAUCUCUUGAAUUAUUAAGUUUGGGCUUAGGUAAAAAGUGCCGUGAUUUUUAUUUUUAUGUAACGACUUUCUUGGGUGCCAUAAGGAAAAUAUUGGGUUUAGCUUUUAUUAAUUUUUAAUAAUUUGCUAACCAGUAAGCUAGAAGUGUGCUACUAGAAAUUACAUUUUGGAUAACAAAGAAUAUUUCCCAUGAAUCUGUACUCUUUAGCAGCUAAUGAACAUCUGUUUGUUUGUAUAAGCAAUCAAACAAACAAAUGGAGCCCAGCGCUCAGACUCAAGAACUAGUUUCACAUGUAAGUAAAAUGUAAUUCUCUGCUUCUAUUGUAUCAUUAUUAUUUUUAUUAUAACUUUGGGGUAUCAGCACCAAACAGGUACAUAUAAUUAAAUAUAAAAACCAUGAAAUAUGUAUACAAUUAAUUUACAUGUAAUUAAAAUGAAUAUUUGUAUAAUUAAAAAUAAAUUUUGCAUUAUUCUUAUUA